AGAGUGUUGUCAAAUUGAAAAACUGACAUGGGAAAUGAAUGCAAAUUAAAAGGGGAAGUGGGCUAUGUUGGGCUUGGGCUCGUCCCUAGUCCGGUUGGUGUUGGGGUGUAUCACAAAACUUCUGUAAAGUUGAUUAGAGACGACUUCAGACGAGUCAAACGUCCGUACACAACUACCACACUACACACAGUUUGUUGAUUCCUGUUGAUCUAAAGAAAAUCCGGAGUCAGUGCAUGAACUUGGUGCUUCCUAACCUUAUGUGAAGUUGAGAUUUGGAAAGCGGGAAGAUAAAAUGAAGAAGAUGAACCAGAAGAGGCAUACAGUUUCUUCGACAAAUUCUUAUCAGCUAGUAGCAAUAAUUUCAUCGAUGUCAUCUUUACUUAAUCUUCUCCAAUGAUGUUUCCUCUCCUCGAGUCGUCCUGAUAUGAUAUGUGCUGAAGGGGGGCGAAUCUUGGAGCAACCAGUAAUGUUAUUCCUGGUAAGUACUCUGCUAAUACACAAUUGUCUUACCUCUUAAAAUUAAUGAAAAGAACAAGAGAAAACCCGUGGAAUAAUUUAACAAGACUAAAAAAAUACAUAUAUGUAUGUUUGAACAAUUCGAAGUAUAAAGUAUUAGCUAUGAUUAGUUGAAAAAGAUCUUAAACCCGUUGUUUGAUUUAGAAUCACCAAGAAAGAUAAGAACUAGAGUCACCAGCUAGCUGGACGGCAUGUAACCAAAACAAACUUCAAUAGAAUAAAAAUCUAUCAAGAUUCAAAUUUCAAAAUACGUCUUAUCCAAUUAAAUCAAUACACCAAAAAGAAUCAUUUCCUCCAUAGAUCCUUCCCUUGAACUCUCCGCCAAAUCUUUUGUAAAUAGCCAAUAAAUCCAAGAACAAAAGACUAUAAGAAUGAAAACACAAAACCUCCAAUAGCCUUCCACUGUAUUCUUUAGUCUUUACACACCAUAUGGGAGGUUCAACAAAAGAGAAAGGUGUGCUUAAACUAGUGCAUCCAGGUAGACAUGUUGAGUAUCACAGAAGCUCAAUCACAGCUGCUGAAAUCAUGAGGAAGAAUCCUAGACACAGUAUCACUCGCCCUGAUUUCUUUAAGAAUCCUUAUAUAGUUGUUCGCCCUGAAUCCAUUAUGGUUCCUGGUCAAGUGUUUUACAUUGUCCCAAACAAAACCGUAUAUAAAUUGGUCAAACAUAGAAGAAGUCAACUCUCUUCACAUCCAAAUGAGUCUCCAAAUCCAAACACUAGUGAUCAUAAUCAAGCUUCCCAACAGAUCUCACCAUCAAAAUCAAUGGCAGGAAGGACACCUAUUUCUGAAUACAAGUUUCAUGAUCAGGAACAAGAAGGAUCAAGUUCUUGUGAAGAAAAUACGUUGGAUGAUGAUGAUGAUGAUGGUGAUAGUUUGACUUUUCAAGCUAGAGACUAUUAUCUAAAUAGAAAUGGUUCAGCAUGGGGAAGAACUGCAAACUAUGGUCAACAAGGUACCAAUUUGAAAUCCUGCAUGAAGAAGGAGGGCCGUGUUCGGGUAUCCCCAAACCUAAGGGUGACUUUUGACUUUAGUACAAUCAUCCAAUAUUAUUGGAACUGAACUCCCCAUUGUUGAAAACGUCAGUUCUGUGUGAAAAAGGCAUGAGAUCAUAGUCUUUAUGUUCUGUGAGGUCAUAAUAGUAGAACAGAACAAUUCAUGCUUCUUUGGAUCAUAAAAGUUAUAAUAUUGAGUUUUAUGGGGUGUUUGGUUUGCCAAAUGUUUUUGGAAUGAAUUUGGUUGGCAGGAAAUUGAAUGGAAUUCGAUAAUAAAAAUUGGAUAACUUAUAAGUUUUUGGUUAUAAUUACUUUUUCUAUUUCUAUUAUAUUCCAGUAUCUGUAUAAAUGAGGGUAUUUUUAGUUUUUUAAUAAUGAAAGGAGGAACGGAAAUGAAUUCCUUCCACCUUCCCUAACACCCCGUUCCCGAGUUCAACUUAAGGAGAGAAAGGAAAAGAAAUGGGUGGAAAUGAGAAGAAAAUAAAAGAAAUUGGUGUUCCCGAGUUUCAUUAAAGGAGAGAAUUGGAAGGAAGUGGAGGGAAAUGGGAGGAUCACUUUCCCUCCUAACUUUCCUUCCGAUUUGGGAGGAUUUGGAAAGAUAUAACAAAAUAAUUCAUUUUCCUUCCACUUCUCUCUAACUCGGAACACAAAAGAAAAUUUUGUUUUCUUUUCCUUUCUCUUCUUUUCUCUCGUGACUUUCUUUUCUCUUCUUUUCUUUUGUUAAACUCGGGAACGAGGCGUAAGAAAUGGUGAAAUCCAUCAAACACGCCAUAGAAUGGAAUGGAAUCUCGAAUUCCAGUUCCAUCGGAUUUUGCUAGAAUCCUCAAACCGAACACGCCCUUAUACAAUAUUUGAGAAACAAAAUACUAUAAACAUAAUCGAAUUAUAUAUCAACUCUAAAUACGUACUUUUAUUAAAAAGUAAAAAACAAAUAUUCCUAAACAAAUUGCUUCAUUCUGUUCUGACUGUUACCUUAGAAUCAGUUCUUUGUGAAUUCCUGGAUGGAGAUGUUGAUCUGGAUCCCCUUGAAGAACUAUGUCCAAAAAGAUUAAAUUUACUGAUUUUCUUGGAAAACGAACUCAUAAAUUUACGUGAGUUAGACUUUUCCAUAUUCCUCUUCAUACAAACAUGCUCUUUUUCCAAAUCAUUCAAUCUCAUUCUUAACCGAGUCAAUUCAAGUUUAAGCUCCCGGUUUUCUCGCCUGAGUGAUGCAUAGUUAUCCUUUGGAGACAUAGCAGCACUGAGAGCACCACUGUUGAUCCGCCAUGACUGGUGGUGCACUGGCGGUGGCUUCUGGUGGUCACCACCACCUAGGUCAGAGCAGUAUAAGGCGUUUCUAAGUCUUAAUUGCUCGAUGUAUAGAACUUGGACGAUUGAUUGAAGUGGCAGGCGAUCGUUUUGUGCAGCAUGUGCACCCGCUUCUGGUGACAGUUUCUGGAAAUCGAUUAAUUUGCAGAGCUUCUUUUUCUCAGCUUCUGAUAAACCCUGAUGAGCCUACAUGCAAGUUUUGUUUCUAGAAUCAGUUCAAAGUUGUAACAUUUUUUUAUAAAAUAAUCGUGUUAGUAGUAAUUAGCAUGAAAGUAAUUUUAAAAAACCUCUAAUAAAAUAUCAUUAAAUUUUUAUAUAACUUAAUACAUUUACCCUAAAGUACCGAAAGAGGGAGCAUGAAUAAAUACCAUUUAAACUUAAGUUGUGUGAUACCCAUAUAUUACAUUAGUUUAUUUUAAAAAAAUUAAAUAUGAAAUUUUAACAAUUUGAAAAGUUUGAAUUUAUAUAAAAAAUGAGAAUUUUUUUGAAUUAUUAAAAUUAAUGAGGCUUUAAUGUAUUGAAUACAUUACAUAUAUAAAUCAUUUCUAAUAAAUACCUUAUAUAUAUAUAUUACUUUACAUAUUAAAUGUGAAAUUUUAAUUUAAUAAAAUAAAAAAUACAAUAAAAUAACAAGUAAAAAAUAGAAAAUUUAAAAAUUUUAGAAAAUGUCAUGUGUCCAAAUGAAGGAGAAGAGAACAUGUGGCAAAAAAACCUCCAUUAAUUAGAGUAGAUAUAAUAAUUAAAAAAUUGAUUCAUGACUAAUUUCAGUCCGGUGGUUCAGGGGCGUUUGGGAUUUUGCUUAUAUAACUUAAUAAACAUUAUUUUUGGUAAAGUGCUUGUUAGCUUAUGUGGCGAUAAAAAUGAGUUUCUUAAAAAGUGUUUGGAUUACCUUCAAAAAAAAUUUAAUUGAUAAAUUUAUAGUCAUUUAGGUUAAGAAGUUAUUUUCAAAAGUAAAUAGCAUGUGACUUUUUAAAAUCUUUUUUUAGGAUAAUAAAAGUUGUUUUCAAAAACACUUUUCUAUUUUCCAAAUAUAUAUAUUUUUUUGAAACUUAUAGGCUUUUUGAAAAGCUAAUAAGUCAAUAAUCAAUUUUCAAAAUCCUGAACACCCUCUUUUAGUUUAAGAAAUAAGAUUAAUUUAAGUCCGGAUUGACUAUAUGAGAACUCUUUUAGUUUAAGAAAUAAGAUUAAUUUAAGUCCGGAUUGACUAUAUGAGAAGUAGUUGUCCGUUGUUGGUUAGGAAGAUUGACCAUCAGUCAAGUCUUUUUAGGAAAUGUUUUGGGUAACUGAGAGUAUUUGUGUCACCAUGAAAAGGGGGACAAAGACUCGUCGGUACAAAAGACGUAAAUACCCUCCUUGUUCUUAUCAUAAAAAAUAAAUCUACGAGUAUUUGAACUAGAUUCUUUGUGGAAUCAAAAGACAUACCUUAAGGUAAACAUCAAUGGAUCGAUAAAGUCCAUCAUGGACGGUCCGAGCAUGCGCGGGUAAACACUCUGCAACGGCUAUAAACCUAGAAAGUUUAAGAUUUGCAUCCGGCGCUAUUUCUGCAAGAUAAUUAUCAACCAACUUCGAAACCUUAAACAAAGCCGUUUCAGAUGGCGAAUCAAGACCAUCAGAUCCAAAACCCGAACCAUCUUGAUCAUCAUCAUCGUCAUCAUCAUCACUCUCGUCUUGUUGCGCAAAAUUAACCAAAAUCCUAUGAACCGUAUCCACAUCAAACAACGUAUCACCAGCAUGCCGAAAA